rnacentral:rRNA from 1 species
CGAGAAUCAGCGGAUCGAGGAUUCGUCCAAGUGAAGCUGAGGAAAGUGGCGGACGGGUGAGUAACGCGUGAGGAACCUGCCUCGGAGUGGGGAAUAACAGUUGGAAACAGCUGCUAAUACCGCAUGAUGCAGUUUGGUCGCAGGACCCUGACUGCCAAAGAUUUAUCGCUCCGAGAUGGCCUCGCGUCUGAUUAGCUAGUUGGUGAGGUAAAGGCUCACCAAGGCGACGAUCAGUAGUUGGUCUGAGAGGAUGACCAGCCACAUUGGGACUGAGACACGGCCCAAACUCCUACGGGAGGCAGCAGUGGGGAAUCUUGCGCAAUGGGCGAAAGCCUGACGCAGCCAUGCCGCGUGAAUGAUGAAGGUCUUAGGAUUGUAAAAUUCUUUCACCGGGGACGAUAAUGACGGUACCCGGAGAAGAAGCCCCGGCUAACUUCGUGCCAGCCGCCGCCGUAAUAC